GUAUUUGGGUCAUCUUUCACAUUUUCUAAGCUUGAUUUCAUUUUCACGGAAAAUAUAUAUACUUCUGUUCACAGUUCCAUUUUUCUGAAUAUGGAAGAAGCCAACUUCAUGGAGAAUUCUCCCAUUGAAAUGCCUGCCAAGGAGCAAAUCCAUCAGUGUCAUUUCCUCAAAUUUCAAUCACAUGAUCAGCACCUGAACUUGAAAGCUAGAUUUAAAGAGGCUCAGAAGCUAGUUGAAAAAUGGAAUCAAGAUCGGAAUCGGAUCAACGAAGAACUGAGGAAAAAAUUGGUACAUCAAAACUGUUUGAGUUGGUUCUUGAGCCGUUUAAGCUACAAGGAUCAGGGUCUGAAAACAAGCAUUGCUUACAAGAGGAGGCAGCUCGACCCUCUACUAGUAGCUCUAGACAAAUUGUGUUGUGGAAACAAAGCAUACCAAGUUGGACCUAUCUUUUCUGGGGGAGAACUUAAUCCUUUUAGCUUGCAUCACAGGAUGCAUAAGACCAAAAAUUUAGCUGAGGAGAAGCAGCUACUUAGAGAAAUAAAUGCAAGCCAAAGGACGGCUGUUAGCUCAUGUCUUUCGUUGGAAGUGCUUAACUAUAGUAUCCACUCUUCAUACCAAAUGAUGGAAUCAUUGGAAUGGGAGAGAAGAAGUUCAGCUGAGAAAAAGCACUUCCUCAGAGAGAUCAAAGAGCUUGAAGUGCAAAGGGACAACAUGAUCUCUAAUGCUAAUUUGAAGGGAAAGAUUUUGGAUUCAUUGGGUUCAAAAGAAGCUAUAAAAACCCAGAUCAAGCUUAUCAGAACUGAAUUGGAUGGAAUGAAGAAGAAACAACAGUCAGUUAAGGCUGAAAUUGAACAGGCUGAGAAAGAGAUGGAGGCCAUGGAGAUGUAUAUAGGUUCUUUACAGGAGAAAUUGGUAGCUAUAAGCCAAGAAAGGAAAGGAGCAGUCAAACACCUUAAUGAACUGUGAAAGCAAUGCGAUAAAGCGGUAUGCUGACCCAAUCUGAUGAUUGUGUGGUCUCAUUUGUAACUUGUUUUAUAUAUGGAGUCAAUAUCCUAUCUCUAACUAUUCAAUCCAGAAGAAAGACAUGACAUCCUCUUUUGUCAUCGAGUUAAUUCUUGAUGACUUGCUACAAAGAAGGAUGUUGCUGCCCACGCCAGACUUGAGGAAUGUCAACAGAAGAUUAUCAAAGGAUGGAUUAAUGAUCAGGAAGCCAAGAUAAACCACUUGUUUUGAAGCAACAAAGUACACAACAAACCAGUGAGGAAAGCAAGCCUUCAAUGGAAAAUCAUUCACUAAAUCAUCAGACUCUAGUUUCAAAACUAGAGGAAUCCAAGCUUGUUUCUGUAUUAAUUAAUUGAAGCCUGUCUCAGGAAUGAACAUGGAACUCCAGUGUAAAACACAAUAUGUUGUGCUGAAAAUUGUAUUUGGUUCCUCCAGGGACUGGUGGUUUGAUAUUGUCAAUCUCCUAGCUAGUUGGUUUGACUUGCAUGGGGAUUGUAAUAAAAACUAGAUUUUUGUAAA